GGCACUUGGUUGUUUAGGGAGAAGGUGCAGUUUUAGGAGUGACACCCGCGACGGAAAGCGGCGAGCAAAAGAGAGCGCAAGUUUUCAUAUGUGAGACAUUAGUGAUGUUUAGCGUUUUUGGAGGCUAGAGUUGGUGUGUAGUGUAGUUAUUGUUUUGUAUUGUGUCAGUUAUACUGCUGAAUGUCACAUUUGCUCCAAAAAAGCCAUCAAAAGCAGAUUCUAGUGUAAAUGCUGUUCCCACAGGGAAAACAGGACUGAUACACCUCCUGUUGUCAGACCUGCAGGGUUUAGGCCUGUGCUGUUCUCUUCUGUCUUAUACUGAACACAAACUUUUUUUUUCCUUUUUUUUUAUUUUUUUUUUUUUUAGGGUUACUGAGGUUGGACUAGCUGGUACAUAAUGAUGUACUACGAGAUCACUAGCGAUACAGCUAUGUUAGCAUAACAUAAACACAGUGAAGCUGGAGGAUGAAAGCUAACCUUUUUCCAUUCGAUAAAAUUUAUGUGAGGGUUCCCAAAGGUUAGGGACGAAUUCAAUCGCAUGGCAGGAUGCUGUUGCAGAUUAAACAGCGCCUCUUCACAGCUCUGUGGGCACAAAAUAGAAGUACUACAAGGACAUAGGGAAAAGGGACAAAGAGGGGAGGGAUAUAAAAUAUUCCAAAUGUUUCUUGAAUUGUUAGCACAGUGUAUAUGUGUAUGUAUCUAUCCAUCGAUUCACUUACGCCUGGAGUUGCCCACCCCUAACUUCCGCUUUUCCUUUUCAGGGUCGCAGGGGGUGCUGGAGCCUAUGGCAGCUAUCUCAGGGCGAGAGGCAGGGUACGCCCUGGACAGGUCGCUAGUCUGUCACAGGGCUAAACAUUCGUACUCACAUUCACUCAUACCUAUGGGCAAUUUAGAUUUUUCCAAAAACAAUGGGCAAUUAAGAUUUUUCACGUGCCUCCAAAGACGCAAAGGUGUCGCCAUCUGACAUGAUUCAGCAGCGCCUCUUCACAGCUCUGUGGUCACAAGUUGAGCAAAAGCCUCUCAAAAUCACACACAGGGGGAUUAAAAAACUUGAAAAGGUGAUUUUUAAAGCCAUCAAAGCGGCUGGACAUUAGCCCUGAUCUCGUGAUCAUUGCGCUAGCCGUAGGUCAGCCGUACCUAGAGGUGAUCAUUUCCAUAUUUGAAGAUCACCACUUCGGUAAAAACCUGCUGGCAAGGUUCUUCUCGUGGUGCGUUAGAGCCGAGGAUGACGAGGACAAAGAAACUAAAGCCAUGUCUGAAACACGUUUAGAAGAAUUUAAAAGUAAUAUAUUUCCAAUAGUGGAGGAAAAAAUCAUCAUCUGGCAUUAGUGUCAGCGAUUAUGAUGAUGAUGAAGAGGAACAUGUGAGCGCACUCAUUGAUGCUGUGCUCACACGUGUUGAAAAUAAUUCGCACUACAAACCUUCUAAAAAACUCCACAGGUAUCUGUUAAAACACGUGUUGUAAUUAUAAUAAAGGUCAAUCAAAUGGACCAAUAUGGCAAGGCCAUGAUGAUCCACUUGGUAAAAUAAAUCCGCUUGGCAUCUUUCUUGGCCUUAAGACAACAAUUCUUAUGGCUAAAGAUCCAAACGGGACACACAAAAAAACACAUGUUGUCUGACAACAGGAUCAAAGAUCUGCAUAUACAUGUAUAUAAACUGAAAGAUCUCGACCGGGCCAUUUACCAAGAGCUACGUCAGAAAACAUUCUGUUAAGAAAAAACAUUUACUGAUGUUACUGAACGACGAGGACCCAGUGUUGAGAAAACUGACGGUCGAUAUCAUUAAAAAUCACCUGAUCGACACUAUGCAGAAUCCAGCCCUGUGUGAAGCUGAAGAGGCUGAAAAUUACAG
ensembl:lncRNA